rnacentral:misc_RNA from 1 species
GAUGAAGAACGUAGCAAAAUGCGAUACUUGGUGUGAAUUGCAGAAUCCCGUGAACCAUCGAGUUUUUGAACGCAAGUUGCGCCCGAAGCCUUUUGGCCGAGGGCACGUCUGCCUGGGCGUCACGCAUCGCGUCGCCCCCCACAAUUCUCCGUAAAGGGAACAUGUGUUUUGGGGGCGGAUAUUGGUCUCCCGUGCUCAUGGCGUGGUUGGCCGAAAUAGGAGUCCUUUCGAUGGACGCACGAACUAGUGGUGGUCGUAAAAACCCUCGUCUUUUGUUUCGUGCUGUUGGUCGCAAGGUAAACUCUUUAAAAACCCCAAUGUGUCGUCUCUUGACGACGCUUCGACCGCGACCCCAGGUCAGGCGGGACUACCCGCUGAGUUUAAGCAUAUCAAUAAGCGGAGG